rnacentral:rRNA from 1 species
AUGCAGAAAUCCUCCAUCUACUUUGGCAAGGGUUGUGGGGAUGAGCUGAAGGAUGAGCUUAAAGGUGAGAUUGGUAUUUCUUCCGAAGCCCUGAGUGAGAGAUAUCUUGGGCUGCGUACUCAAGUGGGCAGAUCCAAAGAAGGUACUUUCAAAUUUGUCACACAGAGCUCUAAGGGCAAGGUCACGGGCUGGAAGGGACAAGGCAUGUCAAAGAAAGCCCGGGAAGUCCUAGUCAAAUCAGGACUCCAAGCCACCCCCACUUUCACCAUGAGUUGUUUCCACCUCACAAAGAAAAUGUACCGGAAUCUGACUUGUAUUUCUUCUAAAUUCUGGUGGGGUGCGAUGAACGGUGAAAAGAAGGUGCAUUGGGUCUCGUGGGAGAAGAUGUGUGACUCGAAGCGUGCGGGAGGAAUGGGUUUCUGUGACCCUGAAAUGUUCAACCAAGCUCUCAUGGCGAAACAAGCAUGGUGA